UUGGAUGUCUGUAGUUUACAGGUAUGCUAUUACAACUAAUCGUUUUGCUCUGAAAAUAACCAUAUUUUAUAAUUUCUAUGGCUUUUUUAAACAACUUCUUGAUUUGUAUGUCUAUUUUGAAUUCUGAUUUAGGUGGCUCUAUGAUUUCAAUUCUCGUGAGUACUUUUACGAUGGUUCAUCAUAUGGCACCCAACAUACCCUUCAAAACUUCUGAGGAUAUCUUCAAUGAAAUUAGACUACAUUUUCAAUUAUCCUUUUCUUUGACAUUUUGAUGACAAACACCAUAUAGUUUAACCAUCUGAUUAUGAAAUGAAAGUAUUCCAUCGAGGUGCAUUUCUGGUCAUGGUCAUGUAUUAUGUUAAAGUCCUUUAACCUAGAAGAUGAAAAUAGAUGAAUGUUUUCCUUUAUCUCGAUUAAUGCCUCAACUUUCUGGACAACACCAUCAAUAUAAACCUAAAAAGAUAUCACCCUUGGUUCUCUCUUGAUUUAGCAGAGAUAGUUCAUCUGUUAAGUUUGUUUUGGUAAAUAACAAUAAACCUUGCCCAAAUAUUCAUCUCACUUAUAGCUCACUCAAAUGUUGCAUCAAGAAUUUUGAUUGUAUUUGUAUCAUAUUUAAGUGCUUUACAGGUUCACUAUAUAAACCAAGUUCGAGCUCUCUUUCUCCUAUAUAAAAUAAACGCAAUGAAUCAUAUUGUUGCAAUGUGUUUUGUUGUGUAUUUUAUACUAAGCUCCAUCCAACUGCUAUGAAGUCUUCCAAAGUAAGCAGAGUUAUUGUCAUUCCCUUAUCUUGCUUUCUUAUAUAUAGUAACAUACAACAGGAGGCCUUUUUCUGAUUUUUCACGUUUUUAGUGUUGUUCAUCUUCAUUUUUGCCCUUAAAAGCAAGGUAUAAAGGUUGAAAUGAAUUUCAAAAUGAUAAGUCUGCAGUUCCCUACAUAGUUGGGAUGGGGCACAGGAAAAAAAGGUAUAAAGGUUGAAAUGAAUUUCAAAAUGAUAAGUCUGCAGUUCCCUACAUAGUGGGAUGGGGCACAGGAAAAAGAAAUGUAUAUGAGGCAGAAACUUUUGUCAAAAUUGAUGAUGUUAGACUUUUGUAAUUUUAAAAUCAGAUGCACAUCUGAAUAAACUAUGGUCUUGAUGUUAUGGGGAUGCCAAAUGAUGUCAUUAAUGUAACUUAUUUUUAAGUUCUACUUUUUGAGAAUGCUGGUGAGACAUUCCAAGCAAAAGUCAUGUAUCUGCAAGAAAUUGAUACUGAAACUUAGAGGUUGAGCAUUGUGAAGUGGAUAAAUUUCAUGUAAUGAGGAAUUCUGAGAAAUCAUUUUCUUUUGUAAUCAAGAUUUUAACCUGAUAAUGUUGGUAGCAUAUAUUUGUACUACA
rnacentral:lncRNA from 1 species